AAUUCUCAACCCCUAAAUUUUUGUAAUGAAAGUUUAGUGGGCUUGGACUUGGAGGUUGUGUCGGCUGUUCUUAGUUGACUCCUCUGAAAAGCAUUAGCGUGAAUCUUACGGAUCGCCUUCAGUGUGAUAAUUAUCUGCGCUGUGGUGUUGAAGUAUUUAUUAGUUCAUGCUUAUAAUCGUCUCUGACUGGAGACAAUUAUUUGACA
rnacentral:misc_RNA from 1 species